CCCCUUCUGAAAAGCACUUGUUGGGUCUGCUUUCCCGUGGCCCAGGGAGUUGUCGUAGAAGGGUACAGCAAUAGCACAACUUUUGGGUGAGGCGACAGCUUGUGCUGCUUUGCUUCAAUCAGUUGUGUCACAUAU